UACGUAGGGUCCGAGCGUUGUCCGGAAUCACUGGGCUUAAAGGGUGCGUAGGCGGCUAUCUAAGCAGGGUGUGAAAGCCCCCGGCUCAACCGGGGAAUUGCGUUCUGAACUGGAUGGCUGGAGUGAGAUAGGGGUGUGUGGAACUUCCAGUGGAGCGGUGAAAUGUGUUGAUAUUGGAAGGAACGCCGGUGGCGAAAGCGACACACUGGGUCUCAACUGACGCUGAGGCACGAAAGCCAGGGGAGCGAACGGG
rnacentral:rRNA from 1 species